UUAAAAACAUUUAUUUUUUUCAGGGUGCAGGGGUCGUGACAUCAUGACAUCUACAAAAACGGUAGAAAAACCCAGGUUUGGUGCGGGGAGUGGGGGCAUUGUAAUUACGUCUCCAAAUGCUAACAGCUGUGGCAGCGCAUGCUCUCUUAGCCUCUGAAGAGGUCUCUGGGCGCUCACACUUGAAAAACCAUGAGGUUGGAACAAUCAUGUUAAUGCGCCUUUUUGGUUUUGGUGAAAAUUUCAGACAGUGUGACAUUAAUUAUUUGUCUUUGCACAGAAUGAUGAUGCUAAAGCCAGCCCCAUACAGUCCUGAUGCUCAGUACUUCCAGCAUGGGCUCUGUCCACCCUGCUCUCUGGGUCUACAUCCAGCCCUUCAGUUUUCACUAGGCAAAUCUGAGGAAAUGGUGCCAGUGGAGAGUGAAGGGCCCUGUGGAGUC
rnacentral:lncRNA from 1 species